AUGGAAAUCACACCCCUGGACACCAGCCCCACCCAUGGCUCUCACUCCACCUCCUCAGAAGCCCACCCAUCACACGGUCCGAAUCUGGGGCCCCCAUCAGAGGACUCCAUUCCACCCACCGAGGGACUCAUCGUCUCCCUCAAACCUGCUCACCGCCCCCAUUCUCAGGGAAUGUCACCACCAUCCCCCCUCCUGGUCACCAGAGUUCAAAUCCACGCAUCAGCCUUCACCCCUUCCUCCCUCGCUCUCUCCACAGCUGACCCAGGCCACGUCACCUCCUCCAGGAACUUUGCUGACCUUGUUGGGGGCCGUGCACAUGUGCAUGGAAUUAGUUCUGCCACAGUCGCUACCUGUCACAUGCUGCGUCCCCAGCUAGAGGACCCCAGCUCCUGUGGAGACAAGGAUUGCACCGCACAGACUGGGCGCCCAGUCUUGCUUGUCGGAUGCGCCGAUCAAUGAAUGAUCCUAGCGCAGGAGCCCAAACCAGCCCAGAGCACCGAUGACAUGCCAGGUCUCCUUCCAGCUCUGCACAGGACUUGGAUCCUAGGAUGUGGCAUUAAUAGUCUCCAUGUCUUGUAGAUGAGGACGUGAGGGACAGAGCUGAGGAGCGACUUGCCUGUGGUCACAUAUGGCUGGUAUGUGGUGGGGGGAGUAUGAUGUCCCUGGUUCCCAAGCCAGAGUUCUCAACAGGAAGGAAAGGAGGGAGGGAGGGAGGGGAGAAGAGGGGAAGAAGAGAAGGCAGGAAGGUGAGAAGGAGGAGGGGAGGGAGGGAAGAAAGGGGCUGGGCAUAGUGUGUGCAUGUAUGUGUGUGUAGCCCAUGACAGUGUUGUGUAAGCGCAUGGGUAUGUGUGCAAGUGUGUGUGUGUACAGGUGGGUGUGAGUGUGCACACUGGGGAGUGCUAUGCAUGUGUGCGAGGGUGAGUGCGUGUGUGGCGUCCUCGCGUGCUCCCUGCCCAUUAUCAAUGAGCAUUUCAAUGCGGCCUCAUCGCUGUGCCGAGGGCGUCCGCGCGGCUGCAGCGCUGACUCACGCCGCUUGCCGGUGAGUCACCGGGCGGCGGGGCGGCCGCGGGGGCGCUCGCUCUCCGCGCCGAGUCCCCGCUGGCCUCCCGCUCUAGGCCGCCCCCGCCGAGUCGCCCACACCCACUCCUGUGCUCAUUGUUGUGUUGAAAAAUGCCAUUUCUUGGAGUGGCUGGGAGAGUGACAGCCUCGGAGACAGCGGACGCUCCCCCCGGCCAGCCCCGAGAGAGCAGAGGGCAGGCUGCCGCCCUGCUCGGAGCCCGGGGCUGGCUGAGCACACGUGGCCCCGGGCCAGCCCCGACCCGGGGACAGAGGACAGACAGACAGUCAGACCGACAGUCAGAGAGAGACAUAACAAGAAACAGAUCAGAUGGUGGGAGGCGCUGCUGGAUGCUCCUUCACAGCCGUUAGGACCACCUUAAUCCCGCGUACAGGGGCUCAC
rnacentral:lncRNA from 1 species